rnacentral:rRNA from 1 species
UACGGAGGGUGCGAGCGUUGUCCGGAAUCACUGGGCGUAAAGGGCGCGUAGGCGGUGCGGUAAGCGUGCGGUGAAAAGCUCGGGGCUCAACCCCGAGUCGGCCGUGCGAACUGCUGGACUGGAGCAUGGUCAGAGGCGGGUGGAAUUCCGGGGUGUAGCGGUGGAAUGCGUAGAGAUCCGGAAGAACACCGGUGGCGAAGGCGGCCCACUGGAUCGGUACUGACGCUGAGGUGCGAAAGCGUGGGGAGCAAACAGG